GCGCUGCACUGAGCCAGCGAGUGGGAGCGGCCAGCUUCAGCCGCAUGAGAAGCGGCUCUGUCCGGCUCUGCAGCCAGGCCCGGCUGCCAGGGAGAGCGGCUGAAUGUGCCGGGGCAAGGGGAGGCACAGCGGGAGAAGAACAGAGGUCCCGCCCUGGAGGUGCUGUUUUGUGUGAUGCUGCCUGGUGAUUGGAUACUAUCAACUGUACACAGUAAUGAAAGAUAUUAGAUUACUAUUGGCUAUUAUUAAUAUUUCAUAUAUGUCAAAAAGAUAAACUUGUUUGAGAGCCAGGUCCAUCUAACCCUCGGCAUUGACAGUCAAGUCUGCAAGUGUGCACUUCAGCUGCAAGACCACUGCUCUCUUGGAAAACUAAGUGCAGGGAACUUAGUGGCCCAAGAGGCAAAGUAUCAUGCAAGAUGUUUGGUGUCUCUCUACAACAAAGUCAGGGAGAAGAAAACUGAGCAAAGUAACACAGAGAAGCUGUUGCAUGCGAUUGCCUUUGCUGAACUGAUAGCAUACUUCGAAGAGGCAAGACUGAAAGAAGAUGUGGCUCCAGUCUUUAAACUAGCAGACCUCACAAGGCUCUAUAACUAUAAGCUAUAGUAGAAUAGCGAAGGGUAAUGCUGGCUGGGUGCAUUCCGAGUACUGAACUAAAAACUCAUAUCCUUUCACACAGUCCAGAUCUCCAAGCACACAAAAAGGACAUGAUGUGCUCCUUGCCUUCAACCAUGAUGUUGGACAUGCCUUCCAAAAAACAUGUGAAGAAGACUGACAAAGAAGCACUUCACCUAUCCCAAAUAGCAAAAAAUAUUCAAAGUGACAUGUUUCAAAUGAACACAGUUUACUGGAUCAUUUGACCCAGGAUGCCAAGCAAAAUCUGUGCCUGAGUCACUGUUGGCACUGAUGUCCAUGAUAUUGGAUGGUCCAAACAUUAAAACUCAAUCAGAACAAGUUUCCAUUCGUCCAGCUACCCUUAUUUUGGCACAACUAUUGUAGUAGAACAACAACAUCCGUCACUGUGAAGGAACAGAAAGUUUGCACCACAACAAAGUCUACAUUCGUUUAACACUUCAUGCACAGACAUGAAAAAGUGAACUAGUAGAUACAUUCUUUAAACUUGGAUUGUCCACCUCCUAUGACAGAUGUUGGCUCUCUCUACCAGCAUGGGAAACAGCUCAUACCAACACUUUGAGGAUGAGACUGUAGUCCGUCCUCUAAAGCUUUGUGGUGGUCUGUUCACCACAGCAAUAGUCAACAUAGACCACAAGCCCAACUCCACCACAGCAACAGACUCCUUCUCUGGAACUAGGAUAUUACCUUUUCAGCAUCCCAGUACUCAGGUGGAGGGAGCUGUGCAAGGAAUUUCCACCCCGGACUGUGAGACUGCAGCAUCAGUGAAGAAGACGAUCAUCACUUCCUGAGUUUUACAGUUAUCCUUCCAUUCGUCUUGAAGAUAACUAAUGCUCCCAUCCCUGCCACAAAUGUUGAAAUCAAGAUUGACUGCUAACUGAUUACCUAAGCCCUACAAGAAGAAUGCAGGUGGCUUGAACAAGUAAGGCAAGCAGCAAUGGAGAUCAAGACAUUUCCCAGGCAGCUUACCUUGCCAGCAAACAGCCAGUGCCAGAUUUUGCCUCGGCCAUCACUGCAUUUCUUCUCCUCUUUCCAGAUGACUCCAAGUCUGUGGCAAUGAUUCAUCACACCCUAGAUGUGAUAAGGAAUGCUGUACACCACAUAAAGUCAUGCCAAGUGCCAGUGAUCACUGUAGAUGAUCCUCUUUUCACCAUAACCAAACAAAUAUAAUGGACCAGGCCUUCUGGGUAUGGAGAAGACAAAUUUGUCAUUAUGCUGGGUGAUCUUCUUCUGGAAAUGGCAAGUCUAAAUCUGAUUGGAGAUUGGCUAGAAGACAGUGGAUCGACAAAAUCCCUUGUUCAGGUCAAAGUAGCCUCCCCAGGAAUGGCUGACACCUUCUUGAAAUUGUCUCAUGUCACACAUACUAGGAAUGCCCACCAAGUAACUAUCAGCAGUCUCUACGUCUUUCUCCAGAAUGCACACACGCAGUAUACCCAAAAUCUCGGGGAAGAUGAGGUCCCCAAGGGGUAUAAUAAAUGGUGCGACAAGCAAAAACUAGAAAACCUACUGUUCCACUUCUCGCAUACCACGCUUCAACUGGAGCUUCUUGUAUUGACCUAUGUGCUGUCAAUCUGCCAGGCAAACUUUGCUCUCUACAUUGAAUGCCUUGGAAAGCUGUCACCCUGGUUCUUGGCAUUGAGUGCCUGUUCACCUCUGAGAUAUGGUAAGCCUUCACACAGUGAAUCCAGACACAGGUAGAGAGUUCCUAAAGUGAAACUUCACAGUUCACUAGACACAGAAUGUUUUCUCCGCAAUCACACUUGAUGAACUUCAUGAACAAAAUAAUGCUGUAAUCAAAGGGGGUGGUGGAGCUGUUGGUCUAACACAAAGUCUAGAGGCCCUCAGCACUGGAUUAUAGCAGGACCAGUGGUGGGCAGGUUGACAGGAGAAUUUUAAGCCACAGAAGAAAGAGGAAUCAACAGAAAAGGGUCUAAUACAAAGCACUGUGAGCAGGUGAAAGGUGUCCAGGCAUCUUUUGCAGAACAUGUCAAGGCACUUGGUGAGGUCAUAGAAGACAUGGACAAUCCCUUCUCAGAAGAGAGUGUAGACUUUAUUAAACUGGACACCAGAGACAUUGCAGAUCCUGCUGCGAUUGUCUCUGUUAGGGAAU